AGAGUUUGAUCCUGGCUCAGAUUGAACGCUGGCGGCAUGGCUAAAACAUGCAAGUCGAACGCGAAAGCUCCUUCGGGAGCAAGUAGAGUGGCGUAAGGGCGAGGAAUACGUUUCUACGUACCCCAAGGUCGAGGAUAGCUCGGGGAACCCGGGGUAAUACUCGAUGUGGUGCUUCGGCAUCAAAGGCUUGUCUGCCUUGGGAGCGGGGAACGUCCUAUCAGGUUGUUGGUGAGGUAACGGCUCACCAAGCCGAAGACGGGUAGCGGGUGUGAGAGCAUGACCCGCCGCAUCGGGACUGAGACACUGCCCGGACUCCUACGGGAGGCUGCAGUAACGAAUAUUCCGCAAUGCACGAAAGUGUGACGGGGCAAUGCCGCGUGUGGGAUGAAGCCCCUCGGGGUGUAAACCACUGUCAGGGUUUAGGAACACAAUGACCAGACCCAAAGGAAGGGCCGGCUAACUCUGUGCCAGCAGCCGCGGUAAUACAGAGGGCCCGAGCGUUAAUCGGAAUCACUGGGCUUAAAGAGUGCGUAGGCGGACGUAAAGGUACUUUGUGAAAUCCCUCGGCUCAACCGGGGAAUUGCUUGGUAAACCAUACGUCUUGAGGCAGGUAGGGGUGGUCGGAACGCUAGGUGGAGCGGUGGAAUGCGUAGAUAUCUAGCGGAACGCCAAUGGAGAAGUCAGGCCACUGGGCCUGUCCUGACGCUGAGGCACGAAAGCGUGGGUAGCAAACGGGAUUAGAUACCCCGGUAGUCCACGCCGUAAACGAUGCGAACUAGAUCGAGGAGGUUUGACGCCCUCUUGGUCGAAGCAAAAGUGUUAAGUUCGCCGCCUGGGGAGUACGGUCGCAAGGCUAAAACUCAAAGGAAUUGACGGGGGCUCACACAAGCGGUGGAGCAUGUGGCUUAAUUCGAAGCAACGCGAAGAACCUUAUCCAGGGUUUGACAUGUAUGGAUUAACUCCGUGAAAGCGGAGCCACACCUUCGGGUGGAACAUACACAGGUGCUGCAUGGCUGUCGUCAGCUCGUGCUGUGAAGUGUCGGGUUAAGUC
rnacentral:rRNA from 1 species